GGGGUCGCGUGGUUUCGACAGGGGAGGACGUUACAAGAUUGCAAGCCGAGGUCGCCGCUGUCCUCGUUAAAAAAGUGGUACGCCAUAACUGGCAACACUUCUUACGCUCUAGCUGCCUAGGUAGCUACGUUCAACCUCGUCUCACCUCGAUGGGCGGGGCUUGAGCGCUGAAAUGUCGAGGUGCAGUGGCCUAGACGCCAAUAUGGGCUGCUAAAGACUAGUUGGCUAGCUUAGUCGAACUCUGUCGGCAGAGGUCGACACGGCGAGAUGAAAAGUGCCGACUACGCUUGUAGGAUAUCUUGGGCGAGCCUUUUCUGGACAGGGAGUUCGACUCUCCCUCGUCUCCACCA
rnacentral:tmRNA from 1 species